rnacentral:rRNA from 1 species
GUUCUGGCGCUUUGGUUGGUGGCGUUUCUCGGCUAUUCGGGCGUGGCCCUGGGAAUCGGUGAAUUUCUCCAGGAGCGCUUUGGCUGGCAGGCGAAGAGCCCUUACCUGGCGCUGCUACUCGGAGUUCUCACCAUCCAGGUCUGGU